rnacentral:rRNA from 1 species
GGGAUUAGAUACCCCACUAUGCUCAGUCCUAAACCAAGAUGUUAAAAAAUACAGAAAGCAUCCGCCAGGGUACUACGAGCGCUAGCUUAAAACCCAAAGGACUUGGCGGUGUCUCAGACCCAUCUAGAGGAGCCUGUCCUAGAACCGAUAAUCCCCGUUAAACCUCACCACCUCUUGCAAUUUCAGCCUAUAUACCGCCGUCGCAAGCUUACCCUGUGAAGGGUUAACAGUAAGCAAAAUGGGCAGAGCCCAGAACGUCAGGUCGAGGUGUAGCCUACGAGGUGGGAAGAGAUGGGCUACAUUUUCUAUUAUUAGAAUAUACGAAUGGCACCUUGAAAUACGUGCCUGAAGGUGGAUUUAGUAGUAAAAAUCAAAUAGAGAGUCAUUUUGAAACAAGGCUCUGAGACGCGCACACACCGCCC